GGUUCAAGACAGGGAUUCUGAGAUAUAGCGCGUUUGCUCAAUCUAAACGCUAAUGACAGCAAUAAUUUAACAAACCUAGUAAAUGACUUUUUCGCAAAUCAUUGGUAAGAUGAUACAGAAUGUCCAGAGACCAGCUUGGCAAAUUCGAUCAAUGUUUGGAUCACUUCGACUCCGUUAUGGAAAAUGACGCCAUGAAGGAAUACAACGUUUUUACUACGGACUGUGAAUUCGACCAGCUUGAGUGGGAAAAGGCCUCAAAGUUCAGGGGAUCAAAUGCUUAUCCUCCUGGGGAAGAUUUCGUGUUCAAUUAACUGAGACCACAAACUCAUCAAAAAAGAAGGAACAAACCCCCCGUCAGCGACAGCGCACCUUCUACUGGAUGGAAAGCAGUUAUGCCGAGAUACUUUAAAAUUAUAAAAAGGUAUCAACAUUUUAGGUUUGAUGAUGAGCAUCCUGGAAUGUUUUUUGUCAAAAAAAGAGGCAGGCAGUGACGAAUUUCCUUUCCAGAUGCUUCUGCAAGGCAUGGAUUUCCCAGAUGGAGAACCGGUUAUCCUGACUCCUCCUGAAUUAUCACUCCAGAGGCAACAGUACCUGUAUAAGAACAUCCGCCCUUUUGUUGAUGAUCCCUACAAGGACACUAUUUGUCCAAGGCCCGAGGUCCUACUAUUUAAUGAUUCUGACAAAAGUGCUGGAGAAAUAGACAUUGCGAUGAACCUGGUCUAAGGAUGCUGAACUGGGUCGUGCGUGGGGCCGUGACCGGGGGUGUGGUCAGCGACCGAGAGACAGGAGUCGAAGCCCUCACUAGGCCACUAGGAUAAUGGCAAAACAAUAAAAACACUUUGUGGACUGUUUAAGAUGAGGAAACGAUCGCACUUCAGUCGGAACUGGAGGCUGUGGAGAAGCAGAUCCAGGAUCUACUAGAGAAGCAGACACGGCUGCGAGAACGAAAAACGGCGCUGGAAACAUCCAGAGCUGAGGCUCGCAAAUCCGUGGUAAGUUUUCAUCGCGAUUUUAAUACUCCUUCCACUUCUACUCCGCGUGUUUCUCUGCACAGAGCCCACGCUUCGAGAACACGGUCAGCCCAAAUGAACUUCACUCCUGCACCGGCACACCCACGGCGAAAGGCUCGAGUUAGGACUGGAGCGAUGACCCAACCGCCGCCACCGGUCUUCGAGAUCCCGACCAGGAACCGCUUUGCCGCCCUCUGCGAGACGGAAUGCAACGCUGUGGUCAUCGGAGACUCAAUCGUCCGGAACGUACGCGCUUUCUCCACUAAAGGUAAGGUGCACACUCAUUGUUUUCCUGGCGCCCGUGUUCUUGAUGUCUCUGCGCAGGUACCUGCGAUCCUGAAGGACGAUGCUAACGUCGGAGCUGUCGUGCUGCACGCGGGGGUGAAUGACGUCAGGAUGAGGCAGUCGGAGAUCCUGAAGAGGGACUUCAGGAGUCUGAUCGAGACGGUACGCAACGCAUCGCCCACAGCGAGGAUCAUCGUAUCAGGGCCGCUUCCUACCUACCGACGAGGGAAUGAAAAGUUCAGUAGACUAUUUGCUCUAAAUAAAUGGUUGAUGUCAUGGUGUAUUGAACAGAAGCUGCUCUUUGUUGAUAAUUUUGAUCUGUUCUGGGAGCGACCUAGGCUCUUCCGCCCUGACGGCCUGCACCCCAGCAGCAUCGGAGCGGUUCUUCUGUCUGACAACAUCUCAAAGACGCUACGCACCGCUUGACUACGUCUCCCAGCGGGAGAGAUUCCGCCAGGCCCAGAUGAACGUCAUAUGCCCAUCCACAACUAGAGAUUACGCCAGCUACAUCGGAAAAUCCCGUGCCAUCCUCCUGCGAGAGCCUGCGGACUGACUGACCAUCCCAGCUCCAUCCAAGGCAAUUCCAUCACCACCCAAGAAAAAGGCGACCAUCUGGCCGGCCCAGCUCAGACAAUUCCAUCCCCAGCCGAGAGCAAAGACGGACUACCUGUCACAUAAAUGCUAAAUUUACAAUACUUGGUAUUUAAUGCUAAACUUACAUCACACGACAGCAGUUUGAAGUUAUGGCUGCACUCAGUGACUUUGAUUGGAGGUAGCUGGGUGGGUGUUGUAGGGAGUGGGGGGGGCUUGUUGGUUGUGGUUCGGGGCGUUUCAUUUGUUGGGACUGUGUGGGUCUGGUCUGGUUGGUCUUGUUUUGUGGUCGAUGUCGGACAACAGAGGAAUAAAGUUAAUUAUGCCAUUACUACUUUUCCCUGGUUGUUCCUCUGUUGUCUGUUGUUGAUCGCGGAAUGGGACCGGGUUGGACCUGCACGGUUUCGGCGGGUGGGGCUUCCUGGGUCGCGGCUCGUGGGCUCUCCCUGUUCUUCGUGGACGUUGCUCGGUGGCUUUGGUCGGGGUCACUGAGUGCAGCUAUGACACGUCAGAGGAGAUCUGGCCCUCCCGGCUGAGCCUGGUUUCUCCCGAGGUUUUUUUUUCUCCAUUAUUCAGCAUUGGAGUUUGGGUUCCUCGCCACAGCAGAGCAGUGCAGUGUUGGCUUGCUCACCGGGAGACUGCAUUUAUUUAUUUAUUUAUUCAUUUAUUUAUUAGAUAUUAUUUAUUAUAAUGAUCUUGCUUGGUCUAUAAACACCAUGCACUGUGCUGUGUUUUACCUUUCUGUGUUUUUCUUAUUUGCUCCUGUAAAGCUGCUUUGGAACAAUGCACAUUGUGAAAAGCGCUAUAUAAAUAAAAUUGAAUUGAAUUGAA